UUGGGUUUUGUUGUGUCUGUUCAGUGUUGCAUCGUCCACAGGCACGGCAAGAUGGACAGUUUGCUGAGAAUAAUCACCUUAACAUGUUUGUUGAACGCAGCAAUGGCGGUGCAAGCGCCUUGCAUACAACUGAACGAUGGUAAUACUAUACCCAUAGUAGCUUUGGGAACUGGACGAGGAACAGCUAAGGAGUCUGACUCAAUAGACGAGGUCCGCCAAGCAGUAUAUUGGGCAAUCGAAGCUGGAUACAGACAUAUCGACACGGCUGCCGUAUACCAGGACGAGGAGCAAGUCGGUCAGGGUAUAGCUGAAGCCAUUGCCAAUGGACUGGUCACUAGAGAAGAGCUGUUUGUUACUACUAAAUUGUGGAACGACAAACACGCUCGCGACCAGGUUGUACCUGCUCUCCAAGAGUCACUCAAGAAACUUGGAUUGGACUACAUUGAUCUAUAUCUCAUUCAUUUCCCCAUAGCUACAAAGCCUGACGAUUCUCCUGAUAACAUCGACUAUCUGGAAACCUGGCAAGGCAUGCAGGACGCGCGGCAGCUGGGUCUGGCCAGGUCCAUUGGAGUAUCCAACUUCAACGCUACGCAGAUCACGAGAUUGGUCAGCAACAGUUACAUCAGGCCUGUUAUUAACCAGAUUGAGGUGAAUCCUACAAACACACAAGAGCCGCUAGUGGCACACUGCCAGAGUCUCGGUAUCGCCGUGAUGGCGUACAGUCCGUUCGGGUUCGUGGUGUCGCGUGGUCAGACCGGCGCUCCGCCCCCGCGCUCCGAUGAUCCCACUCUAACAGCACUCGCUAAUAAAUACAGGAAGAGUGUUGGACAGAUUCUACUCAGAUAUUUGGUAUGAUUUCCUAACCUUUUUUUUUUGCUUAAAUGGGUGGACGAGCUCACAGCCCACCUGGUGUUAAGUGGUUACUGGAGCCCAUAGAUAUGUACAACGUAAAGGCGCCACCCACCUUGAGAUAUAAGUUCUAAGGUCUCAGUAUAGCUACAACGGCUACCCCACCCUUCAAACCGAAACGCAUUACUACUUCACGGCAGAAAUUAAGCAGGGUGGUGGUAUUUACCCGUACGGACUCACAAGAGGUCCUACCACCAUUAAAAGGUUAUUAACGAAAUAGAAAAAACUAUAUAUCGCACCUUUAGAAUUGAAGUGGCUUAAUUCAAUAUUAUUUUUUCGGUAGUAUUAUAGGUUGCCUAGAUCUACAUGACGAAAUUGCUAACCAAGCGAAGGAUGUGAUCACAAAUGGACUAUAAGGAUGUGAUUAAAUAACAUCUAAUUACUAUUUUUUUAUAUAUAGUAUUUUCUUCGGUUUAUCGUCAUAGCUAAAAUUACCACUAUUUUUACGUGUGAAUCUCGCGUUUUUAUUGUCAUUGUAUCGUUAAUUAGUUGUGUGUUUGAAUCGUCGGAAAUGCCAAUAAAGAACGCUAGAUGAAACCGUAAAAAUACCGUGAAAAUAGUAUUAAUUACAAAAAAAUAUAGAGAAGUCUGCCGGGAAGCUGCUCAUUAAAUGAAUAGUCUAUUAAUUAAUUCCAAAUCAAUUAUACAACUGUUUUACGAUUAACAUUUAAUUGUAUAAUCAAUUAUUGAAUUUACUUUUCGGAUGUUUCAGAUCGACAGAGGUCUAAUCCCGAUUCCGAAAUCCACAAACAAGCAAAGGAUCGCUCAGAACAUCGAUCUAUUCGAUUUCCAAUUGACGUUUGAAGAGGUAGCGGCCAUUAACCAAUUUAACAAGAAUCAUAGGGUCAUUGACAUCAGUGAUUGGAAGGAUUACCCAAACUAUCCUAAUUAAAUGUCUAAAUCAUGGUGUGUUCCUUGCCCGUUUAGAUAUAGGUUAAUAUGUAUAAAAUUAAAAUAAAUAAGAAAUAUUAAUUUA